rnacentral:misc_RNA from 1 species
AAGUCGUAACAAGGUUUCCGUAGGUGAACCUGCGGAAGGAUCAUUACUGAGUGGCUGGCGCCGCCUCUGCGUUGCGAGAGCGCGCGGGGGGGGAGAGCGGUUACCCGACCUUUUGUCAUUUGGGCUGGCGGCUGUUUUCCAGGCUGGGGGCUUCUGGGCUGGGGUUCCCGAGUGGGAGGACCAGACUGGGGGGUUCCAGGGUGGAGACAGGCGGCGGCAUGUUCAGGUUCGGCGGAGGAGGCAGGGGCUGGCCGAGGUUGACCGAUGGAUGGAAAGAUCGAUCGGGUUGACUGCGGGAGAGGCGACCUGCCCGCCGCCGGUGGGAUUACCAACUCUUUGUUAGCAAGGUGAAGUCUGAGGAAGCAAGAAAACGAAAAAGCAAAACUUUCAACAACGGAUCUCUUGGCUCUG